rnacentral:rRNA from 1 species
CGUACACUCCUACGGAGGCAGCAGUGGGGAAUAUUGGACAAUGGGCGCAAGCCUGAUCCAGCCAUGCCGCGUGAGUGAUGAAGGCCCUAGGGUUGUAAAGCUCUUUCACCGGUGAAGAUAAUGACGGUAACCGGAGAAGAAGCCCCGGCUAACUUCGUGCCAGCAGCCGCGGUAAUACGAAGGGGGCUAGCGUUGUUCGGAUUUACUGGGCGUAAAGCGCACGUAGGCGGACUAUUAAGUCAGGGGUGAAAUCCCGGGGCUCAACCCCGGAACUGCCUUUGAUACUGGUAGUCUUGAGUUCGAGAGAGGUGAGUGGAAUUCCGAGUGUAGAGGUGAAAUUCGUAGAUAUUCGGAGGAACACCAGUGGCGAAGGCGGCUCACUGGCUCGAUACUGACGCUGAGGUGCGAAAGCGUGGGGAGCAAACAGGAUUAGAUACCCUAGUAGUCCCAUGAU